rnacentral:tRNA from 1 species
GGGGUUGUGGCUUAGCGGUAGAGCGCUCGCCUCCCACGUGCGAGACCCUGGGUUCCAUCCUCAGCACCACA